rnacentral:rRNA from 1 species
AUACGGAGGGUGCAAGCGUUAAUCGGAAUUACUGGGCGUAAAGCGCACGCAGGCGGUUUGUUAAGUCAGAUGUGAAAUCCCCGGGCUCAACCUGGGAACUGCAUCUGAUACUGGCAAGCUUGAGUCCCGUAGAGGGGGGUAGAAUUCCAGGGGGAGCGGGGAAAUGCGUAGAGAUCUGGAGGAAUACCGGUGGGGAAGGCGGCCCCCUGGACGAAGACUGACGCUCAGGUGCGAAAGCGUGGGGAGCAAACAGGAUUAGAUCCCCUGGUAGUCCACGCCGUAAACGAUGUCGACUUGGAGGUUGUGCCCUUGAGGCGUGGCUUCCGGAGCUAACGCGUUAAGUCGACCGCCUGGGGAGUACGGCCGCAAGGUUAAAACUCAAAUGAAUUGGCGGGG